UUUCAUGGAGAGUUUGAUCCUGGCUCAGGACGAACGCUGGCGGCGUGCCUAAUACAUGCAAGUCGAGCGAAUCWWGAGGUGCUUGCACCUCUUGGUUAGCGGCGGACGGGUGAGUAACACGUGGGCAACCUGCCUGUAAGACUGGGAUAACAUCGGGAAACCGAUGCUAAUACCGGAUAAUCCUUUUCCUCUCAUGAGGGAAAGCUGAAAGUCGGCUUCUCGCUGACACUUACAGAUGGGCCCGCGGCGCAUUAGCUAGUUGGUGAGGUAACGGCUCACCAAGGCGACGAUGCGUAGCCGACCUGAGAGGGUGAUCGGCCACACUGGGACUGAGACACGGCCCAGAC
rnacentral:rRNA from 1 species